rnacentral:lncRNA from 1 species
CACAUGUGCUUCACAUGUGAUCACAUGUGCUUCACAUGUGAUCACAUGUGAUCACAUGUGAUUAUAUGUAGUUCACAUGUGGUUAUAUGGAGGGUACAUGUGAACCACAUGUGAUGUACAUGUGGUUAUAUUGGAUACACAUGAGGUUCACAUGUGAAAACAUGUGGUUCUAUGAGGGCACAUGUGAACCACAUGUGAUGCAGAUGUGGUUAUAUGAGAUACACAUGUGGUUCACAUGAGAAAUGUCUCUACAAACAAGUGGUUCAUAUGUGAUCACAUGUGGUUUAUAUGCGAUCACACAAGGCUUACAUGUGAAAAUGUAUAAACCUAUGUGAACGAAAUGUGGUUGACAUGAAAAUGUAUUUCAAACUAAUAAUGAAUCAGCAAACUUCUGUAAUGUGAAUGCAUACAUAUACCACAUACCUAUUCCCCAAAUACACGUGCAUAAUCAUCUAAAUAAUAGUUACUGCUUUGCUCAGUUUAAGUAACACUGUAUAUUUAAGUUGUCUUCUUAUUUACAAUUAAUCUCUAUCUAACAUAUUUGGUAAUCUACAAAUAAAGUUAUUUACAUCAAAACACUGCUGAUUAAGACAAUCCAGAAGAUGUCUUGUGGAUAUUCAUUGGAUUGUCUAUAUAUGCCGGGUUAUUUAAAUUAUAUCAAAAUUCUGCUGCUUAUUAAAUGCUAUAGUUUACAAUAAAACAAUAAGAUAACUCAGCCUCGUUGGCUAUGAGCGAAUAGUAAACUCAGCCUCGUUGUAAUAAUACAUUCGUCCUAAUAUUUAUAAAUCUGAGGCCAAUCUCCGACCGGUGUAAUAACCCCAACGACCGACAAGUGUGACGCCACAUUAGGCGAAAACCCUGGGAACGAGGUUGCGCAUUCGUUUCAAAAUUCAAAUUUUUUACAACGACAUUCUUGGCUGUUCUACGAGGAGAUUGCAAUUUUAUUUGAUAAAAGACAUAAAAGGAUAAUCUUUGUCACUCUCCUAAUACGAUUGGAAAUGAAAUAGGUGCUGGUUCACUGGAUUGAGUCAAAUAAGACAAGCAUCUUAAAGAAAGAAUAUAUUAUUUAAAGACAAAAGUGUGCAUGCUAAAACAUCCCGAGAAGGAUCGCAUGGUUUUGUUUGGAUACUCAAAGAUGAAUUCCCCAAAGACGGCAUGGAAAUCGUAUUUUGAAACGUUUUGGCAGAAAGUGAUAGCAAGAAUGAGUUACUAAUGAAAACUUAGCUUGAAUUGAGCAGUUGGAGGAUAACAGUGAUAAUAACAGUGAUGAUAAUAAAGCCAAGAAGAGGCGAUUAGAUGUGACCAGUGCUGACAAUAAGAAACCAAAGAAGAAUAUAAAGCUUUUGUCAUCAUGAAAUUUCCUCAAGCAAAUAAUACAAUUUUAAAAGCUGUUAUGACACAAGAGUGCAAAGAAUUUAGGCUGUCAAUGGAAAACCGAAGAAAGAAUCAGGAAGAUCUUAGCAACAAUUAAGGACAGUAGGAUGACUAAAUAAAUUAUAGUAUUAUAAUUCAUUUUUUUAUAUUUACAGAUGUAUCUUUUACUCUUUAACAUAGUCAAAUGUUUCACUUCAUUUUGUAAUAUGGUUUUCAAUAUAUGUGCAUUAAUUUACUUCACCUGGUAAUACUGUGUCUGAGUGAUUUAAUGAUAAUUAAAGGUGUCAUGCAGUAGUUUGUGUGGAUCACAUGUGAACCACAUGUGAACGUCAAAACAGACUAACAUGUGAACCACAUGUGGUUGUUCCAGAUCCACAUGUACUGAACCACAUGUGACUCACAUGUGAUACUACCACAUGUGAUACUACCACAUGUGAACCACAUGUGAUACCACCACAUGUGAACCACAUGUGAUAUAAUGGUUCCAAUUUCACAUGUGAGUCACAUGUGAUUCCACAUGUGGUUUU